GUUGUAUAGUCAAGUAAUUAAGUGCAUGUGGUGGAUGCCUUGGCAGUCAGAGGCGAUGAAAGACGUGAUAGCCUGCGAAAAGCUCCGGGGAGGCGGCAAAUAUCCUUUGAUCCGGAGAUGUCUGAAUGGGGGAACCCACCUACUUUAAGGUAGGUAUUGCAACAUGAAUACAUAGUGUUGCAAGGCGAACGAGGGGAAGUGAAACAUCUCAGUACCCUUAGGAAAAGAAAUCAAUUGAGAUUCCCUCAGUAGCGGCGAGCGAACGGGGAUCAGCCCAUUAAGUUAUGUGUGUUUUAGUGGAACGCUCUGGGAAGUGCGAACGUAGAGGGUGAUAUUCCCGUACACGAAAGGGCACACAUAAUGAUGACGAGUAGGGCGAGGCACGUGAAACCUUGUCUGAAUAUGGGGGGACCAUCCUCCAAGGCUAAAUACUCCUGACUGACCGAUAGUGAACCAGUACCGUGAGGGAAAGGCGAAAAGAACCCCUGUGAGGGGAGUGAAAUAGAUCCUGAAACCGCAUGCAUACAAGCAGUGGGAGCACCUUCGUGGUGUGACUGCGUACCUUUUGUAUAAUGGGUCAGCGACUUAUAUUCAGUAGCGAGGUUAACCGUAUAGGGGAGCCGUAGAGAAAUCGAGUCUUAAUAGGGCGUUUAGUUGCUGGGUAUAGACCCGAAACCAGGCGAUCUAUCCAUGAGCAGGUUGAAGGUUGGGUAACACUAACUGGAGGACCGAACCCACUGUCGUUGAAAAGCCAGGGGAUGACUUGUGGAUAGGGGUGAAAGGCUAAUCAAGCCUGGUGAUAGCUGGUUCUCCCCGAAAGCUAUUUAGGUAGCGCCUCGGACGAAUACCAUAGGGGGUAGAGCACUGUUUCGGCUAGGGGGUCAUCCCGACUUACCAAACCGAUGCAAACUCCGAAUACCUAUGAGUACUAUCCGGGAGACAGACUGCGGGUGCUAACGUCCGUAGUCAAGAGGAAAACAAUCCAGACCGCCAGCUAAGGCCCCAAAAUCAUAGUUAAGUGGGAAACGAUGUGGGAAGGCAUAGACAGCUAGGAGGUUGGCUUAGAAGCAGCCACCCUUUAAAGAAAGCGUAAUAGCUCACUAGUCGAGUCGGCCUGCGCGGAAGAUGUAACGGGGCUAAAACUAUGUGCCGAAGCUGCGGAUNNNNNNNNNNNNNNNNNNNNNNNNNNNNNNNNNUUGACAUUAGUCAAGUGGUAGGGGAGCGUUCUGUAAGCCGAUGAAGGUGUAUUGAGAAGUAUGCUGGAGGUAUCAGAAGUGCGAAUGCUGACGUGAGUAACGACAAAACGGGUGAAAAACCCGUUCGCCGAAAGACCAAGGGUUCCAGUCCAACGUUAA
rnacentral:rRNA from 1 species